rnacentral:rRNA from 1 species
UACGAAGGGGGGCUAGCGUUGCUCGGAAUUACUGGGCGUAAAGGGCGCGUAGGCGGAUGUUUAAGUCGGGGGUGAAAGCCCAGGGCUCAACCCUGGAAUUGCCUUCGAUACUGGACAUCUUGAGUGCGGGAGAGGUGAGUGGAACUCCGAGUGUAGAGGUGAAAUUCGUAGAUAUUCGGAAGAACACCAGUGGCGAAGGCGACUCACUGGCCCGUUACUGACGCUGAUGCGCGAAAGCGUGGGGAGCAAACAGG